GUGUGUGUGAGAGAGAGAGAGAGGAAGAGGAGAGAGCAGUAGACAGAAUAUUUUUAAGUGUUUUUAAUGAAAAGUUGGAGGAUGUCCCAGGAUGAGAACAAAGAUAUGGUACACCUGCUUGUCAAGAUUCUAACGUUAAUGUCCCACUUCCAGGAACACGAAGAUGGACUGGAUUCGCAUGCAGAUGUUGCAGCAUCUGCAUCUGAUGUUGAGAAGACACUCAAUCUACCUGCCAAUCCUCAUCUGAUUUUGCUGGUGUCCAGUCAACAUUUUUGACUGCAGUUGCAACAGUGUUUGCUGUGCACUACAUCUUCAACCUGCAGUAUCAAGAGGCGGCUUGUUGCACGUUAGAAUUUUUUCAAAGUUUUUUCAGUUCAUCAUCUGAAACACUGUCAAAUGUGGUUUUAUUCGCAUGCCAGACACGGAGAAAAUAGGAGAAAGGCAUGU